CCUACGGGCGGCAGCAGUGGGGAAUAUUGGACAAUGGGGGGAACCCUGAUCCAGCCAUGCCGCGUGUGUGAAGAAGGCCCUCGGGUUGUAAAGCACUUUCAGUGAGGAAGAACGCCUGGUGGUUAAUACCCAUCAGGAAAGACAUCACUCACAGAAGAAGCACCGGCUAACUCCGUGCCAGCAGCCGCGGUAAUACGGAGGGUGCGAGCGUUAAUCGGAAUUACUGGGCGUAAAGCGCGCGUAGGUGGCUUGAUAAGCCGGUUGUGAAAGCCCCGGGUUCAACCUGGGAACGGCAUCCGGAACUGUCAAGCUAGAGUGCAGGAGAGGAAGGUAGAAUUCCCGGUGUAGCGGUGAAAUGCGUAGAGAUCGGGAGGAAUACCAGUGGCGAAGGCGGCCUUCUGGACUGACACUGACACUGAGGUGCGAAAGCGUGGGUAGCAAACAGGAUUAGAUACCCCGGUAGUC
rnacentral:rRNA from 1 species